AGUGAACGCUGGCGGUAGGCCUAACACAUGCAAGUCGAACGGCAGCACAGUAAGAGCUUGCUCUUACGGGUGGCGAGUGGCGGACGGGUGAGGAAUACAUCGGAAUCUACUUUUUCGUGGGGGAUAACGUAGGGAAACUUACGCUAAUACCGCAUACGACCUACGGGUGAAAGCAGGGGAUCUUCGGACCUUGCGCGAUUGAUUGAGCCGAUGUCGGAUUAGCUAGUUGGCGGGGUAAAGGCCCACCAAGGCGACGAUCCGUAGCUGGUCUGAGAGGAUGAUCAGCCACACUGGAACUGAGACACGGUCCAGACUCCUACGGGAGGCAGCAGUGGGGAAUAUUUGACAAUGGGCGCAAGCCUGAUCCAGCCAUACCGCGUGGGUGAAGAAGGCCUUCGGGUUGUAAAGCCCUUUUGUUGGGAAAGAAAAGCAGCAGGUUAAUACCCCGCUGUUCUGACGGUACCCAAAGAAUAAGCACCGGCUAACUUCGUG
rnacentral:rRNA from 1 species